rnacentral:rRNA from 1 species
CCUACGGGAGGCAGCAGUGAGGAAUAUUGGUCAAUGGGCGAGAGCCUGAACCAGCCAAGUCGCGUGAAGGAUGACGGCCCUACGGGUUGUAAACUUCUUUUGUCAGGGAGCAAUUGGGUCCACGCGUGGGCUUAGCGAGAGUACCUGAAGAAAAAGCAUCGGCUAACUCCGUGCCAGCAGCCGCGGUAAUACGGAGGAUGCGAGCGUUAUCCGGAUUUAUGGGGUUUAAAGGGUGCGUAGGCGGAAUAUCAAGUCAGCGGUAAAAAGUCGGGGCUAAACCCCGUCGUGCCGUUGAAACUGGUGUUCUUGAGUGGGCGAGAAGUAUGCGGAAUGCGUGGUGUAGCGGUGAAAUGCAUAGAGAUCACGCAGAACUCCGAUUGCGAAGGCAGCAUACCGGCGCCCAACUGACGCUGAAGCACGAAGGCGUGGGUAUCGAACAGGAUUAGAUACCCCAGUAGUC